AAGGAGAUUACACCUGAUCCACUGAUUGAGGCCUUGGAAUCUGUGGUUGGUGAUCGUGAUUCCUUUGAUGGGAGAUUACAAGCAGUGCAGGCAGAUUCUGAGUGGACUGAUGUAGAAUCACUUAUCAAAGAACUGCAACAAAUUGAAGGGAUCCAGUCCGUAACUAAAGGCCGUUUUUUCUUGAGUCCUGGUUUAGCCCCAACAUUUCAGGUAUAUAUGGCGUCCAUGUUUGAAAAUCAAUACAAGUUACUUGCUCGAUCUGGAAACAAAGUACAAGAGG
rnacentral:misc_RNA from 1 species